rnacentral:rRNA from 1 species
UACGUAGGGUGCAAGCGUUGUCCGGAAUUAUUGGGCGUAAAGAGCUCGUAGGCGGUUUGUUGCGUCGGCUGUGAAAUCCCGAGGCUCAACCUCGGGUCUGCAGUCGAUACGAGCAAACUAGAGUGUUGCAGGGGAGACUGGAAUUCCUGGUGUAGCGGUGAAAUGCGCAGAUAUCAGGAGGAACACCGGUGGCGAAGGCGGGUCUCUGGGCAACAACUGACGCUGGAGGAGCGAAAGCCGUGGGGAGCGAACGGG